rnacentral:rRNA from 1 species
GGAUUAGAUACCCUGGUAGUCCACGCCCUAAACGAUGAGAACUAGAUGUUGGAGGAAAUUGAUCCUUUAGUAUCGUAGCUAACGCGAUAAGUUCUCCGCCUGGGGAGUACGGCCGCAAGGUUAAAACUCAAAUGAAUUGACGGGGGCCCGCACAAGCGGUGGAGCAUGUGGUUUAAUUCGAUGCAACGCGAAGAACCUUACCUGGCCUUGACAUCCUCGGAACUUUGCUGAAAAGCGAAGGUGCUUUCGGGAACCGAGAGACAGGUGCUGCAUGGCUGUCGUCAGCUCGUGUCG